UGGCAUUCCUCCUCUCUUCCUUCUAGAAGACAUAGGGACAAUGUGCCAUUUUGGAAGGAAGCAGAGAACAUCCCUCACCAAAUAAUCAAUCCUGCUGGUGCCUUAAUCAUGAACUUCUCAGCCUGCACAACUCAUGAAGGCUAUCACCAUAUGUGGGCUGAUUGAUCUUGGACUUCCAAGCCUCCAGAACUGGAUGAAAUUAGCAGAAGUGAAAUUGAAGCUGAAGAGUCCGGAAAUAGAAGGACUAUUUGGUAAUGAUUUCAGAAGGGAACUAAAAGGCAAUGAAGUGCUCUGAGAAUACUGUAACGUGCUUCAAUGAACAGAUAUAUACUUCUGGAUUUGAAAUAAUUUAGGAACAGAUUCUGCCACACAUCAGUAGCAUUCAGGACUUGGAGAAGACAAGAGAACGGACAGAGGUAAAGUGGAAAGUACAGUAGAGGAAACUAAUGUUCUGAACAUUCUAUGCUAUUUUAAGGUAUUUACAACAUAAUUUAGUCCAACAUAAUCUUGUCAUGGAGAUGUGUAGAGAAUAAGACUUCAGGCUUCUAUGUGACUAAUUGUGAGCAGAGUAUUAGUAGAUCUUCAUUUGCUUUUCUCGUUUUCUUAUAAUAAUAAAAAUAAUGUUCAAGUAUAAAACUUUACAAUUAUUUAUCAUUGGUAUUAAAAUUAGCUACAUUUUUGCCACACAUAUCCAGGAUGACUCUACUCUAAACUAACAAAAGCAACCCGUGCAUAACAAAUCUCUGGUAAUUUAAGAUGUUUAAGUAGUGCAUGCACAGCUAUACCUGUCACCAAAAUGAUGAGUUUCACUUUGAUGCAUCUCAAUCUUCAAAUUUGUUCCAGGUCCUUUGUCAAACAGACAUACUUAUUUCUCUUUUCCGUGUUUGUUCUAGAAAUAAUUCUACUUAGUAGAACUGCAUGAUCAGUUAGCUCUACAGUUUUAUCAAAUAUAUCAAAAGCAUGCGAUCUGUGCCGUUGCACAGAAUUAGUUUGGUGAGUUAGCAUUCCAAUAUAACUUAUUCAAAUUUACUUGCUGAGUGAACUAUUGAUGCAUAAUUUUAGAAAAAGAAAUAUUAGCACAUAGAUUUCACAAUAGUCAAGUCAUUGCUACCCCAGCUACACGUUCUACUGUCUUAUUCACCAUCCGAUGGUGUUGUCAUUAUUUAAUUCUUGGAGGAUCAAUACUGUUUAUCGAGAAAGCACCUGUUACUUUAAAGGAAUGUAGCAGGACAAUGGCACUUUCCUUUGUUGUUGGAGAAGUAAAUUAAAUUAGAGAAGUAAAGCCAUCAGGGUGUAAAGUUGAUACCUGAACAAAAGCCAAAUUUGACAAAUGGGAUCUAAUUAAACUAAAGCGCUUCUGCACAGCAAAAGAAACUACCAUCAGAGUGAACAGGCAACCUACAGAAUGGGAGAAAAUUUUUGCAAUCUACUCAUCUGACCAAGGGCUAAUAUCCAGAAACUACAAAGAACUCAAACAAAUUUACUAGAAAAAAACAAACAACC